rnacentral:lncRNA from 1 species
CCCACACGCCCCCACACCUUGGGCAUCCCACUUCUCCUCCAUGCCAAGUGCACUUGGGCGUCCACCUUGUGCUGGUUUUCACCUACUGGUAGCAGCAUAAUUCAAGGAGAGAAAGGCAAGAGAAGAAGAAGAUCAAGGAAGGAGAUCAAGUGUUGAUCACAAUUCAGACUUCAUUCAAAUUCAGUAGGCUAAAUUUUUUUAGAGAAGAAAAUUCAACUUGAAGAGAAUUAUUCUAAGCUGAUCCCAAGUAGAUACCCAUAAA